rnacentral:rRNA from 1 species
UAGGGAAUAUUGCUUAAUGGGCGAAAGCCUGAAGCAGCAACGCCGCGUGUGUGAAGAAGGCCUUCGGGUUGUAAAACACUUUUUGAGGGGAUGAGGAAGGACAGUACCCUCAGAAUAAGCCUCGGCUAACUACGUGCCAGCAGCCGCGGUAAAACGUAGGAGGCGAGCGUUAUCCGGAUUUACUGGGCGUAAAGCGCGUGUAGGCGGCACGGCAAGUUGGAUGUGAAAGCUCCCGGCUUAACUGGGAGAGGUCGUUCAAAACUGCCGAGCUAGAGUGCGGGAGAGGGAGGUGGAAUUCCGGGUGUAGUGGUGAAAUGCGUAGAUAUCCGGAGGAACACCAGUGGCGAAAGCGGCCUCCUGGCCCGCAACUGACGCUCAGACGCGAAAGCUAGGGUAGCAAAC